rnacentral:rRNA from 1 species
AUGAACGCUAGCUACAGGCUUAACACAUGCAAGUCGAGGGGCAGCAUGGUCUUAGCUUGCUAAGGCCGAUGGCGACCGGCGCACGGGUGAGUAACACGUAUCCAACCUGCCGUCUACUCUUGGACAACCUUCUGAAAGGAAGAUUAAUACAAGAUGGCAUCAUGAGUCCGCAUGUUCACAUGAUUAAAGGUAUUCCGGUAGACGAUGGGGAUGCGUUCCAUUAGAUAGUAGGCGGGGUAACGGCCCACCUAGUCUUCGAUGGAUAGGGGUUCUGAGAGGAAGGUCCCCCACAUUGGAACUGAGACACGGUCCAAACUCCUACGGGAGGCAGCAGUGAGGAAUAUUGGUCAAUGGGCGAGAGCCUGAACCAGCCAAGUAGCGUGAAGGAUGACUGCCCUAUGGGUUGUAAACUUCUUUUAUAAAGGAAUAAAGUCGGGUAUGGAUACCCGUUUGCAUGUACUUUAUGAAUAAGGAUCGGCUAACUCCGUGCCAGCAGCCGCGGUAAUACGGAGGAUCCGAGCGUUAUCCGGAUUUAUUGGGUUUAAAGGGAGCGUAGAUGGAUGUUUAAGUCAGUUGUGAAAGUUUGCGGCUCAACCGUAAAAUUGCAGUUGAUACUGGAUAUCUUGAGUGCAGUUGAGGCAGGCGGAAUUCGUGGUGUAGCGGUGAAAUGCUUAGAUAUCACGAAGAACUCCGAUUGCGAAGGCAGCCUGCUAAGCUGCAACUGACAUUGAGGCUCGAAAGUGUGGGUAUCAAACAGGAUUAGAUACCCUGGUAGUCCACACGGUAAACGAUGAAUACUCGCUGUUUGCGAUAUACAGCAAGCGGCCAAGCGAAAGCGUUAAGUAUUCCACCUGGGGAGUACGCCGGCAACGGUGAAACUCAAAGGAAUUGACGGGGGCCCGCACAAGCGGAGGAACAUGUGGUUUAAUUCGAUGAUACGCGAGGAACCUUACCCGGGCUUAAAUUGCAGAUGAAUUACGGUGAAAGCCGUAAGCCGCAAGGCAUCUGUGAAGGUGCUGCAUGGUUGUCGUCAGCUCGUGCCGUGAGGUGUCGGCUUAAGUGCCAUAACGAGCGCAACCCUUGUUGUCAGUUACUAACAGGUUCCGCUGAGGACUCUGACAAGACUGCCAUCGUAAGAUGUGAGGAAGGUGGGGAUGACGUCAAAUCAGCACGGCCCUUACGUCCGGGGCUACACACGUGUUACAAUGGGGGGUACAGAGGGCCGCUACCACGCGAGUGGAUGCCAAUCCCCAAAACCUCUCUCAGUUCGGACUGGAGUCUGCAACCCGACUCCACGAAGCUGGAUUCGCUAGUAAUCGCGCAUCAGCCACGGCGCGGUGAAUACGUUCCCGGGCCUUGUACACACCGCCCGUCAAGCCAUGGGAGCCGGGGGUACCUGAAGUGCGUAACCGCGAGGAGCGCCCUAGGGUAAAACUGGUGACUGGGGCU